rnacentral:rRNA from 1 species
AUACGAAGGGUGCAAGCGUUACUCGGAAUCACUGGGCGUAAAGCGUGCGUAGGCGGUUGGUUAAGUUCUGCUGUGAAAGCCCUGGGCUCAACCUGGGAACUGCAGUGGAUACUGGCCAGCUAGAGUGUGAUAGAGGAUGGUGGAAUUCCCGGUGUAGCGGUGAAAUGCGUAGAGAUCGGGAGGAACACCAGUGGCGAAGGCGGCCAUCUGGAUCAACACUGACGCUGAGGCACGAAAGCGUGGGGAGC